UUCUCUGCAAAACCCUAAAUCAUUCACGUCUGUUCCUUCCCUACGAGGAAACAAAAUGUCUUCUGGGAAAAGUUCACAGAAAAUUCCUGUGUGGGAUUUGCCUGAUCUCCCUAAAGGAGAGCUGCCGCCGCAUUUGGAACUGCAGAGGACCCGCGUCUCUUGCACUUCCGAUGCCCCAAUUCACACCGAGAGUAUCCAAUACUCGGGUGCGUAUGCGUCGAUCGGAGUGGAUAACAGUUUGAGACUGUCGGAGUUUCGCAAAAAUUUUAAGGUUGAAGUGAUUAGUCUCUCGGAGGAUGACAUGGAGUUCGAUUUGACUGGUAUUGAUGUUACUAUUGCGAAUGCUCUGCGAAGAAUCCUGAUAGCUGAGCUCCCCACCAUGGCUAUUGAAAAGGUUUUUAUUGCAAAAAACACCUCAGUGGUUCAAGACGAGGUGCUCUCCCACACACUGGGUCUUGUCCCACUUAAAGUUGAUCCAAGACACUUCAAUUAUAUGUCAGAAAAGGAUGAACCGAAUGAGAAAAAUACCAUUGUUUUUAAACUCCAUGCACGUAAUGAGAAGGGGGGUGGUACUACUCAAUGCCCAAUCACUGGAAAGAAAGAGGGGCCAUAUAUUGAUGAACUAUAUAAAAAAGUGCGGUCCAAGAAACUGAAGUGGUUGCCCAAUGGCAGUGAGAUCAAACUGAGUACAGAGAAAUCAAAUCAAGAUUCGACAUCAAAACCAAAAACUUACACUUCUUUCAGUUGUAGUCAGGAUUCCAUGCCAGAAUUUGCAAACAACCCAAUAGCCGCCAAGCAUGGGAAUAUACUUCUUGCCAAACUUGGACCCAAACAGGAAAUUGAGCUGGAAGCGCAUGCUGUGAAAGGAAUGGGCAAGACACAUGCUAAGUGGUCACCUGUAGGCACUGCUUGGUACAGGAUGCUGCCUGAGAUUGUUUUGUUAGAAGAAAUUGUGGAUGAAAAGGCUGAAGAACUUGUCAAGAAAUGUCCUAAAAAAGUGUUUGACAUUGAAGAUAUUGGUAAAGGUUGUAAAAGAGCAACAGUGGCACGCCCUAGAUCUUGUACCCUCUGCCGUGAAUGCAUCAAAGGUGAUUGGAAAAAGCUUGUGGCAGUUCGGCGAGUAAAAGAUCAUUUCAUUUUUAAAAUUGAAUCUACGGGAGCACUGCCCCCUGAAGUAUUGUUCACUGAAGCUGUGAAGAUUCUGGAAGACAAGUGUGAGCGAGUGAUAAGUGAGGUCUCGUGAGGCAACUAGGAAGGAAAGUUUUUCAGGGACGGUCAAAGUAUAUUCCAGGAAAAGAGUACAAUAUGAACUUUUGGGGCUCAUGAAUUAAAGAAUGUUAAAUCCUCAGAAAAUCACAUGUGAAGAGCAGAUACUGCUAGACAAAUAUAUCCAUAUCUGUUGAAGAGAUUUCUGACGUGUUCCUUCCAUGUCUCUAUGACUCUAUGGUUCUUGCUCUACCAAACAGCCUACCGGUGUUUUUUCUCGAUGGCGAAUCCGUUCUAGGGGUCACUUUGCUGCACUACUUUGGCUUUGGGUCACUUUGCUGCACUACUUUGGCUUUCUGAGCUCCAGGACGAGGCAAUCAGUUCUGCGAUGUGGCCUUUAUGUGGGCACCGUGAUUUGCGCUUUUUUAAUUAUGCGAACAGUAUUCGUCUCGGUUAGCUAGAGUGGUUUGCUGGUGCAGCAACAUGUUUGCAUUGAUAUACCUGAGAAAUUGCAGUGAUAGAAGCAACCCAAGCCGAUUCGUAUAGAAAAAGAAAGCGGAGGAGGUGGAGGAAAACGAAAGACUAGCCCAUUGAGAAGAAGAUCCAAAGCUAAACUGCAAUAUUUUGCAGAGUUUACCAGUUUUGUUUGUCGAGACUUGAUACAUAUCAAGAUUAACUGCAGAUCAAAUAGUUGAAGUAUUUCAUUUUGUCAAUACAAAUUUGGAAAUUUACUCUAA